UGUUCCACGAUGAGGGGCAUAGCUUGA
rnacentral:piRNA from 1 species